AACGAACGCUGGCGGCAGGCUUAACACAUGCAAGUCGAGCGCCCCGCAAGGGGAGCGGCAGACGGGUGAGUAACGCGUGGGAAUCUACCCAUCUCUACGGAAUAACGCAUGGAAACGUGUGCUAAUACCGUAUACGUCCUUCGGGAGAGAGAUUUAUCGGAGAUGGAUGAGCCCGCGUUGGAUUAGCUAGUUGGUGGGGUAAAGGCCUACCAAGGCGACGAUCCAUAGCUGGUCUGAGAGGAUGAUCAGCCACACUGGGACUGAGACACGGCCCAGACUCCUACGGGAAGCAGCAGUGGGGAAUAUUGGACAAUGGGCGCAAGCCUGAUCCAGCCAUGCCGCGUGAGUGAUGAAGGCCCUAGGGUUGUAAAGCUCUUUCACCGGUGAAGAUAAUGACGGUAACCGGAGAAGAAGCCCCGGCUAACUUCGUGCCAGCAGCCGCCGUAAAAC
rnacentral:rRNA from 1 species